GGUGUGGUCGACCGAAACGCGACCCCCAGUGUGUUUCGACACACUAUCAUUAACUGACUCCAUAGGUUAAUGAGGCGAACCGGGGGAACUGAAACAUCUUAGUACCCCGAGGAAAAGAAAUCAACCGAGAUUCCCCCAGUAGCGGCGAGCGAACGGGGAGGAGCCCAGAGCCUGAACUUUAUGGACAGCGACGGCAAAGUGGGCGCGGAAGUGGCUCCGCGUCGUUAUUUCUGUCUGCAAUG
rnacentral:rRNA from 1 species